AGUGAACGCUGGCGGUAGGCCUAACACAUGCAAGUCGAACGGCAGCACAGUAAGAGCUUGCUCUUACGGGUGGCGAGUGGCGGACGGGUGAGGAAUACAUCGGAAUCUACUUUUUCGUGGGGGAUAACGUAGGGAAACUUACGCUAAUACCGCAUACGACCUACGGGUGAAAGCAGGGGAUCUUCGGACCUUGCGCGAUUGAAUGAGCCGAUGUCGGAUUAGCUAGUUGGCGGGGUAAAGGCCCACCAAGGCGACGAUCCGUAGCUGGUCUGAGAGGAGGAUCACCCACACUGGAACGGAGACACGGUCAAGACUCCUACGGGAGGCAGCAGUGGGGAAUAUUGGACAAUGGGCGCAAGCCUGAUCCAGCCAUACCGCGUGGGUGAAGAAGGCCUUCGGGUUGUAAAGCCCUUUUGUUGGGAAAGAAAAGCAGCAGGUUAAUACCCCGCUGUUCUGACGGUACCCAAAGAAUAAGCACCGGCUAACUUCGUG
rnacentral:rRNA from 1 species